rnacentral:lncRNA from 1 species
CAGCAGCCCAUCUGAAAUUUUGGUGGCGUUUCUCAUCUCAUGUCUCCCUCUCUUUGCUUCCUGCAGGUGGGUGGUUUCCCCUCGUCCCCGCUCACCGGGUGAAGUAAAAGCACCGAGAUGUCUGUGCCGUUCAGCUGAGCGAUGGUGGCCGGACAAGAGGGACUAAUUUGAGUGCUGGUGGCAACAGGGGCAUUUUCCACACCUCUUACCUCAUCUAGAGAGAAGAACUUCUGCUCAGGGCCGAGUCAGCGCGUGAUGGCAGAACAGACCGUGCUCAGCUGCAGCUUGGCUGGACUCCUUGCACCCAACACCCAGCACAUCCGUACCUGUUCACAAGAAUGACCCAGUUGGGUCUGGUUGUGGAGACCCUGCUUCCUCCUCCCCACCACAAACUGGAUGCACUUCUAUUUGCUGGGCUCUGGCUGUGAAAAAGCCGCUGCACAUUAAAGCCGAGGGCUGCGGAAAACCCCGUCAGCUGGUAACGAGGACACAGACAGUAGAGGGCUGAGAGUUCACCUUGACCUGCUAAUGGAGGUAAAAACCUCAAUUAUUCCUCUGUCCUCACUUGGAUUUUAUCUUGUCUGUAUUAUCAUAAAUUCUUUC